rnacentral:rRNA from 1 species
AAACUUGAGAGUUUGAUCAUGGCUCAGAACGUACGCUGGCGGCACGCCUAACACAUGCAAGUCGAACGAAGUAGCAAUACUUAGUGGCAGACGGGUGAGUAACAUGUAGGUAUCUGCCCUUUGGCCUGGAAUAACACGAGGAAACUUGUGCUAAUACCGGAUAAGUCUUUACGGAGAAAGCUUUAUGCACCAUUGGAUGAGCCUGCACUUGAUUAGUUUGUUGGUGGGGUAAUGGCCUACCAAGACUGUGAUCAAUAGCUGAUUUGAGAGGAUGAUCAGCCACAUUGGGACUGAGACACGGCCCAAACUCCUACGGGAGGCAGCAGUGGGGAAUCUUGCACAAUGGAGGAAACUCUGAUGCAGCGAUGCCGCGUGAGUGAAGAAGGCCCUUGGGUUGUAAAGCUCUUUCGUCGGGGAAGAAAAUGACUGUACCCGAAUAAGAAGGUCCGGCUAACUUCGUGCCAGCAGCCGCGGUAAUACGAAGGGACCUAGCGUAGUUCGGAAUUACUGGGCUUAAAGAGUUCGUAGGUGGUUGAAAAAGUUAGUGGUGAAAUCCCAGAGCUUAACUCUGGAACUGCCAUUAAAACUUUUCAGCUAGAGUAUGAUAGAGGAAAGCAGAAUUUCUAGUGUAGAGGUGAAAUUCGUAGAUAUUAGAAAGAAUACCAAUUGCGAAGGCAGCUUUCUGGAUCAUUACUGACACUGAGGAACGAAAGCAUGGGUAGCGAAGAGGAUUAGAUACCCUCGUAGUCCAUGCCGUAAACGAUGUGUGUUAGACGUUGGAAAUUUAUUUUCAGUGUCGCAGGGAAACCGAUAAACACACCGCCUGGGGAGUACGACCGCAAGGUUAAAACUCAAAUGAAUUGACGGGGACCCGCACAAGUAGUGGAGCAUGUGGUUUAAUUCGAAGAUACGCGCAGAACCUUACCAACACUUGACAUGUUCGUCGCGACUCUGAGAGAUUAGAGUUUUCGGUUCGGCCGGACGAAACACAGGUGCUGCAUGGCUGUCGUCAGCUCGUGUCGUGAGAUGUUGGGUUAAGUCCCGCAACGAGCGCAACCCUCACUUUUAGUUGCCAUCAUUAAGUUGGGCACUCUGAAAGAACUGCCAGUGAUAAGCUGGAGGAAGGUGGGGAUGACGUCAAGUCCUCAUGGCCCUUACGUGUUGGGCUACACACGUGCUACAAUGGUAUCUACAACAGGAAGCAAAACUGCGAAGUUAAGCAAAUCCCUAAAAGAUACCUCAGUUCGGAUUGCACUCUGCAACUCGAGUGCAUGAAGCUGGAAUUACUAGUAAUCGUGGAUCAGCGUGCCACGGUGAAUGCGUUCCCGGGUCUUGUACACACCGCCCGUCACACCAUGGGAGUUGGUUCUACCUUAAGGCAAGGUUUCAAACCCUUGACCACGGUAUAGUCAGCGACUGGGGUGAAGUCGUAACAAGGUAGCCGUAGGGGAACCUGCGGCUGGAUUACCUCCUUU